rfam:Pseudomonas brenneri strain RGCB 108 Contig002, whole genome shotgun sequence.
GGGUGAUUAGCUCAGCUGGGAGAGCAUCUGCCUUACAAGCAGAGGGUCGGCGGUUCGAUCCCGUCAUCACCCA